GAUCUCUUCAGUAAUUGCGCAUGAACCAGGAUAUGCUUAGCUUGACAAAUGGAGCUGCUGGCUCUGAAUUGUAUUGUGGGAAUGUAUUACCAACAGAGGUGCAGGUCACACUCCUUGGCAUUGGAAUGCAAAGUGGGUGGUAAGUUUCAUGCAAAGGUAAAUAUGCAAUUGAGACUGAUAGCGCACAAGUACCAUGAGGGACAUAUGAAAAGGACUUUGAAAAGAGAAUUAAAUGAGUUUGUAUUUGCUAAACACAAAGUAAACAGACUUGAUUUCCUCAGUGAGAUUGUAGUGCUUGCUUAACAAUGGGUUUUGGCUGCAAGUGCAAUAAUUCUUGCUUUGUGUGCCCGUUUUUAUGUGGACAUUUGAUUACCUUUGCACAUGAAUGGUAAUUUUCCUGCGGGGUGUGGAUUGCAUAUGCAUGUAAUGAUUUGCAUGUUUGUUAAAUGUGUCUGGUGUAUUUGUUUGUGUCCUUGUCCUUGAGGUUGCUUUCUCCCUUGGGCUUACAUGCCCUGGCACACACAUUCUGGCAAAAUGCUUCUGCUUGACCCGUCUUGAAAAU
rnacentral:rRNA from 1 species